rnacentral:rRNA from 1 species
UGCAAGUCGAGGGGUAACAGGGAUUGCUUGCAAUCCGCUGACGACCGGCGCACGGGUGCGUAACGCGUAUGCAACCUACCUUCUACAGGGGGAUAGUCAAUAGAAAUGUUGAAUAAUACCCCAUACGAUCAUUUAUCUGCAUAGAUUAAUGAAGAAAGCUCCGGCGGUAGAAGAUGGGCAUGCGUCCUAUUAGUUAGUUGGUAAGGUAACGGCUUACCAAGACAUCGAUAGGUAGGGGUCCUGAGAGGGAGAUCCCCCACACUGGUACUGAGACACGGACCAGACUCCUACGGGAGGCAGCAGUGAGGAAUAUUGGACAAUGGAGGCAACUCUGAUCCAGCCAUGCCGCGUGCAGGAAGACGGCCCUAUGGGUUGUAAACUGCUUUUAUACAGGAAGAAUUGUACCUACGUGUAGGUAUUUGACGGUACUGUACGAAUAAGGAUCGGCUAACUCCGUGCCAGCAGCCGCGGUAAUACGGAGGAUCCAAGCGUUAUCCGGAAUCAUUGGGUUUAAAGGGUCCGUAGGCGGUCUUUUAAGUCAGAGGUGAAAUCCUGCAGCUCAACUGUAGCAUUGCCUUUGAUACUGAGAGACUUGAGUUAUUGUGAAGUAGUUAGAAUGUGUAGUGUAGCGGUGAAAUGCAUGGAUAUUACACAGAAUACCGAUUGCGAAGGCAGAUUACUAACAAUAUACUGACGCUGAGGGACGAAAGCGUGGGUAGCGAACAGGAUUAGAUACCCUGGUAGUCCACGCCGUAAACGAUGGAUACUAGCUGUUCGACCAACAUUGGUUGGUUGAGUGGCUAAGCGAAAGUGAUAAGUAUCCCACCUGGGG